rnacentral:rRNA from 1 species
UACGUAGGGUGCAAGCGUUGUCCGGAAUUAUUGGGCGUAAAGAGCUCGUAGGCGGUUUGUCGCGUCUGCUGUGAAAACUCGGGGCUUAACUCCGGGCCUGCAGUGGGUACGGGCAGACUAGAGUGCGGUAGGGGAGACUGGAAUUCCUGGUGUAGCGGUGAAAUGCGCAGAUAUCAGGAGGAACACCUAUGGCGAAGGCAACUCGCUGGGACGUUACUGACGCUGAGACGCGAAAGCGUGGGGAGCAAACAGG